CCUACGGGAGGCAGCAGUGAGGAAUAUUGGUCAAUGGACGGAAGUCUGAACCAGCCAUGCCGCGUGCAGGAAGACGGCUCUAUGAGUUGUAAACUGCUUUUGUACAAGGGUAAACCUGAAUACGUGUAUUCAGCUGAAAGUACUGUACGAAUAAGGAUCGGCUAACUCCAUGCCAGCAGCCGCGGUAAUACGGAGGAUCCAAGCGUUAUCCGGAUUUAUUGGGUUUAAAGGGUGCGUAGGCGGAUUGAUAAGUUAGAGGUGAAAUGUCCGAGCUUAACUCGGGAACUGCCUCUAAUACUGUUGAUCUAGAGAGUAGAUGCGGUAGGCGGAAUGUAUGGUGUAGCUGUGAAAUGCUUAGAGAUCAUACAGAACACCGAUUGCGAAGGCAGCUUACCAAUCUAUAUCUGACGUUGAGGCACGAAAGCGUGGGGAGCAAACAGGAUUAGAUACCCCUGUAGUC
rnacentral:rRNA from 1 species